CGUGUUGAAACUUUCCCACCCACCACGGUGCACUCAUUCGUCCACACUAUCACUAUCACUCGUCUCUACCCUGCGCUCCCGAAUGUGUCGGGUUGGAUCCAAGUACCACCAUAGGGUGCCCAAAGACUUCAUUUGGGCUUUCACUAAUAAUUCACUGGGGGGCACACCCUGGUUAAAGGCAUGCUGUAAACAACCAUGACGGAAACUAUGUACACUCUCGCCUCCAUACUGGCCACUACUGCUUAAGUGUUGUUUGAGGCGGCACCCCAAAGCCUCCGUUGAAAGCGGGGCUUCCUUGAAUCGGCGCCCGUCGGUGUCCACGGGCCGGAAGAGGUAGUCGGUCACAGGAACUUGCUACACUGAACACGUCGAAAGAUACACCGAAAGAGUGCCCAAGGGACAAAUCACGGGAUUACUGCUUCUCUCCACCAUUUGCCCAGGUGAUCGGACUCCUCGAUACAUCUUCGUCCCUAGCUUCGCGAUUUGCAGGCGACAGGUAGAAGCUUCUACCUGAGUCCCUUAAGGGACUCACCCGUCCACGCUGGGCAUAGGAAGCGGAAGGCCUCUGAAUGGGCUCCGAACUUGAUCAGGGUCCCGAAGAUUGUCCAGCCAAAGCUCUCUGCAGUCAUGCCCAUGCAUGCUCGUGCUCCACAGCAGACAGAAAAUACUCCGGUCCUGGAGCAGUGUUAUUCAGGAAAUCCGACUGAUGGUGUUGCUAGCGGUCUGCUCCAAGUACGUACUUAGAUCUACUAGUUUAGUGUACGAAAGAGGUACGGCACCCCGCUCAGUGUGACCCUGCCGAGUGAGAAUUUGCCGAUAACCCUUUCCAUAGCCACGAAUGGCUGAACACUCGCACGGAUUGCCGGUUGAUGCUGUCGCAUCGUACAGUCCUCGUCGGUUUAGUAAAUUGAAAGCUGUUGACAGGUGGGAGAUCGCCCCCUGCAAGGUUGCAGGGCAAGGCCUGCAAUCUACACGAACCCGGCCUGGGUGGGCGGUGAUCCAGUGUUCCUCGAAAAACAUCAAAAGUGACGCUGGAUCACAGUUUAGUAGAUUCACCCAGGGCCCAUGCUGUGCAAGCCAACUAUGCAGCUCGUGCGACUGUGUCCGAAUCUUGUGCCAGCUGUCCGGGGUCCAUUGCUGGCAGAUGGUCUCAUACACAGAUAACAGUGCCGGGCUAGGCAUUUGGGGGACCCCACGCCGACCCUCUAGCGAGUGAAGGAAGGCUACCAUGAUGGGGUCCGUGGUGCUUGGUAGCGCUGCCGGCCUUUCAGAGCGCGCUGCGGAGCUGGGCGCCCCAGCUUGGUUCACACUCACGGUAGCAGCCUGUACGCACAGUGUCUCGUUUUAUGCAUCGAUACAUUCUGGACUUUUUACCAAAUCUCUAGCCUCACCUCGGGGCUGCUGCCGGUGACGGGUCUACUGGGACUGGUCCACACCAGUCGCACCAAGGGUUCAUUGCUACGACUUGCACUGAAAGCAGAGAUCUGCAUCAUUUUGCGUAAAUCGGGUGUGGCUUUUUGAUAACCCCACCCACCCUCCCUUUCUUCUGUCUGCCUAGAAUUUUGGAUUCCUGAAAUCUGGCCAGCUACCUGUAACAAAAACCCUAAGCACCUCUUCCAAUUGGUGUCUUCCAGCCAACCACCAUCCAGUUGUGGUUUAGUAAGAUAUAACAAGUCUAGUAUCGAGACGGUUCCUCCCGGGGCCUCUCUCAUUCCUGGAAUUUGCAACAUCCUACGUUUUACCAUCAAGAUCCCUAUUUCUACCGGCGCGUGGAUGGAGGUCACCGGACCUCUGGCUACAAUAGUUGACGCUCUCGGAGAGGCCGUCCCCGAAGUGGCAGCCGCCGGUCUGUAAACUACUUUAGCAAAUCUGUUUGCUGACUUUUUCUAGGAUUUUGGGUUACUAGCGGUAAAGUUGCUGCAGGUUCUGAACCGCCGGUUCCUUCGGCGGUCCCUGCCCUUUGCCAGAGGCUCUGUCAAGAGCUUCGUAGCACCCGUUCGGUGCUAGACCAGACUUUCAGAAAACUUGACAGUUCUCUUUACUUGGGUACGCGGUCUGCCUGAUCUGGGUCAGGAUAGUUGGAAAUGGAGCAGUCUAGGCGAAGUCGUUGGGGAUAGAGGGUAGGACACAUGGUCAGGGAGAGCAAUUCUUUUGACUGCCCCGGUCGCACAAUUCCCGUGCUUCCCUAAUUCAACACCCCGAGCAGGCCAAUUCCGUCUGUCCGAAUGUCCCUGCCAGGCCAAUUCGACACCCUGACAGGCUAAUCCUGACUGUCGGAAUGUCUCCGCCAGGCUAAUUCGUAGGAGUGGCGGUGUUAUCUGGAGGGUCGGCCGUUCACCCUCAAAACCGACCAUGGUGGCCACAAACCCCUAACGUUUCUGCAAGGCGUGGCCUACCCUUAAUCGUCGUCAAGCCCGGUGGAUGGAAUACCUUAGCCGGUUUGACUUCACAAGGGAAUACCUGCAAGGCAUCUUUAACGUUGCUGAUGCCUUAAGUCGGGCACCCUUGUCUGCAUGCAGCCAUUCUGUCAGUCGUUACACGCGACCGUGCUGCAGCACCCGUUGUGCCCUCUGAACUUGUGCAACAACUUCGAGCUGCCUAUGCCACGGAUCCCUGGUUUUCCGAUAACCACAAUACUGGCCAUUUAACCCGUAACAGUGGCCUUUGGAUCCGCACUGAGGGUACUUUUCAGCAAGUUGUCGUUCCGAAUGAUGACUUGCUGCGUCAUGAUCUCCUGUCAUGUUUUCAUGAUGACCCGCUGGCUGGGCGCCCUGGCUGCACCCGUCUGAUCGAGGUUCUCCAUCGUCAAUCCUGGUGGCCUCGGAUGGCUAAGGAUGCUGAGAACUAUGUCCAGAACUGUGAGCUGUGCCAACGCAAUAAAGUCCUGUCUGGUAAGCCCCACGGCCUCCUGUGUCCCUUGCCUGUGCCGGCCCCCCUUGGGAAAGUGUUACCAUGGACUUUGUUGUAGCUUUGCCCAAAACUGAGGGAGGAUUCGAUGCCGUUUUGGUCAUGGUAGACCGACUCACGAAAAUGGUGCACCUGGCACCUACGGUAUCAUCCUGCACAGCUGAGCAAACUGCACAUCUGUUCUUUGACAACAUAGUGUGUUUGCAUGGUGUCCCCAAGAACGUUGUGACUGACCGCGGAUCGCAAUUUGCCAGCAGAUUUUGGGGCACCCUGGGUGAUCUGUUAGGCAUGCGUGUUAACCUGAGCACCGCCUAUCACCCACAGACCGAUGGACAGACAGAACAACGUACAAAUCGCACUCUUGGCGAUAUGUUGCACAAUUAUGCCGGACAUACACCUUCUGUCUGGGACACAUAUCUAACUGCUGCGGAAUUCACGAUUAAUAAUGCUGUGAAUCGCGCGACUUGCACAAGUCCGUUUUUCCUGGAUUAUGGAUACAACCCUGCCUUGCCUGUUUGGCGGGAGUUGGACGUCAACUUGCCUGCAGCAAAGACGUUUGCCAAGUCCUUUGUGUCCCGACUGACUGACGCUAAAUCUUGCCUUGAAGCUGCACAGCAACGUACGGCGGACUACUUUAACAAAUACUUAUAUGACAUACUUACAUAAAACCGCUUAAUCCCAGUGUAAGAAUGUUUAAGAAUGCACACCCGCUGCCUCCGUGUUCUUCAGACAUUCUUAUCGUUCUUAAGCAUUCUCCUAAGUUUCUUAACCCCCCUCCGCGUUUGUAGGGACUGCAGCCUCACUAUCCGAGGUUGGCUGCACUUCCUGCACAUGCAUGAGAGCAUGAGAAUAAAAGCAGGCACUGCAAAGACAGUGCUGACACAUACACACACGCCCUCCCCCAACCAGCCCCAGCCACCCGCCAUAGCAUCAGGAACUAAAAAGAGGGGAACGGGUAACGAAUCCACAAUGAAAACAACCCUGGCACAUAUGUGGCCCACCCCCGCCUGCCUACACAAAACAAAUCUGCCGUACUCCGAUAGCCAUAUCGGAGUACGACAGCUUUUUGACGCCCGACAUAAAACACAUAACAGCCCCGACCCUCCCUUCCAACUCACCUCUCCAAGCGAGCCCAAUUCCUUCUCACGGUGGCCACCCGCCUCCAUUCCCGGCUGUACGUCAGCCAGGAAUAACUAAUGUUAGUUUAGCGACAGUGAGUGGCGGUGAGUUCUAUUUUAACGUUGCUACAAGGCAUACUUAAAGAUAACACAAGUCCAUUAUCCCAAUGGAAGCUGUUCCGAAUUCCUUCUCACUUGAAGCGGUUCCGAUUAGCGACAAUUCUUGGCCCAUAUCGUGCUCGACUGAGUUGGGAGUCAUGGCUACGUGCUUUGUUCUUUCGUAAUGAAGAUACCGUACUGCUACGAAUUCUUCGCGCCACAUCGUUCGUGGGUACCCCAAAAAUGUAGCUGGAAUUUUUCGUUUUGUUACACCAAUUCUCGAGGGCUGUCAGUUUUUAUGGCACACAUUUGUUUACGUGAACACACAUUUCGCGGGGCUCCAGGGAAGCCACAACAAGGAGCGACAGCGUCAAAGCUCCCAAACUGCUGGACAGAUCGUUUACUAUAUGUUUACGCAGAAGAACAGAAGACAGGCCCGGUGGUGCGGCACCAAAGUCAGGUGCGGUUUACCAAACGCCCCGAUACACAAACAAAUAACAAAUAAAGUUCUGGCUUACCUACACCAUGUACACGGCGUACGACGCAUUUGUGCCAGACAGUUUCGCGACAAGCAAAUAAUUUUCCCCAUAGAGCGUUUUCCACUGUGACACACUUCGUGGCCCAAAACGAAAGGUGUGGCGCGAAGAAUUCGUAGCAGUACGGUAUUUGUUUGAUGGAGAGGACAUUGAAGCCAUAAUAGCCAAAGCUGUAGAUUGGAGCACCAAUACAGGUGGCAAACACCUAAACUAACCUAAACUUCACUUAUGAUGCAUUCACCAGUUAUAUUCAUGCUUUCCAUUGUGCUUUCGGGGCUGCACAUCUACAGUAACCUCAUCCAGACAACUGUCCCGUAGCUGCUGAGCCUUGGCGCUACACGUCUCCGGACUGCCAAAUGGCCAUUUGGCAGUCUCGCGAGAAAGGAAUCACUUGACAGACCAGAUUUAAGAAGCGGUGUACAACAGA
rnacentral:lncRNA from 1 species